rnacentral:misc_RNA from 1 species
UCUCCACCCCACCUAAACAUACAAGUGAGAAUUUGUCAAAGAAUAAUUAACUCAAUAUUUCAGAUCUUUAUAUAUAUCUUCAAACACAACGUGAGAUCGUAAAAGAAGUUUCGUCAUAAAACUUUGACUAAUUAUGUCAUUCAAUAAAUAAAUUUGACAUACAUAAUCAGCUGAAGAAAUUUUGUUGCUGAUUUGUGCAUACGGAAGGCAUUAGUCCGUGAGAAUAUAUGUAAACAAUAGAAGAAAAGAAGAAUGGGUGGUAAUCUGUGUCUGGGCAUAACCAAUGACCUUUUAAUAUCAGAAUGUAAAAAGUAUCGGAUUAAAGGUUGAUUAAGCUCCAAACUUGGGAACUUUGGCAGUGGAGAUUUGAGCAAGAAAAUGCUCUGCUACAAUCCUGCGCUGAAUCUUUCCAGUAGCUGUUUUUGGGAGAGAGUCAGUGAUGAAAACCUUCUUGGGAACCUUGAAACUUGCGAGGUUCUUUUUGCAGUGGCGAAGCACCUCAGCCUCGUCAAUGUCUGAUCCUUCCCUUGGAAUUAUGGCACAAUUUAUCUCUUCCCCAUAUUUAUCAUCUGGGACUCCGAAGGCCACUGCCUGGGCAACGUCUUGAUGAGACAAAAGUACUGCGUCCACUUCAAUCGGUGAGAUCUUCUCGCCUCCACGAUUAAUGAGCUCCUUGAUCCGACCCACGAGAUGCAAGUACCCAUCCGAGUCGAAAAACCCAACAUCUCCGGUAUGGAACCAUCCGAAUUGAAAUGCGGAUUUAUUAGCCUCAGGAUUGUUCUUAUAUCCCUUAGUAACAUUUGGUCCUCUAAUACACACCUCCCCACUAACACCAGCCGGUUGCACCACCCCGUUCUCAUCCAACACCGCCAUUUCUUGACCAACGGGUCUCCCAACAGACCCGGCUUUGUGCCCACCAUCUUCGGGUAACGGGUUAGAAGCCAUCAAAUGAGACGCCUCAGUCAUUGCAUAAGCCUCCAACACUGGCGCCCCAAACACUUCUUCCAGGCGGUCUAAUAUAGAGGGCGCCAAAGAUGCGCUGCAGCUCCUGAUGAACCUCAGUUUCGGGUAAGCCGGCUCUGGCUUGCUGAUGUGGCGGUCGAGUAUGAUUUGGUGAAUCGUGGGGACGGCAGUGUACCACGUGGCUUGAUAUGCAAUCAUGUCCUGCCAGAAAGUCGAGGCCGAGAAUCUUCCGGCUGCUGGAAGAGCGACGGCUGCUCCAGAGACUAGUGAACUCAAUAGUCCAGCGAGUAAACCAUGAACGUGAAACAGAGGCAACACGAGAACAGUGGAAUCAGACUCGGUGAGUCUAUACACAGACUUUAUGUUCAAAACGGAGGAAGCGAGAUUAAGCUGAGUCAAAGGCACGCCUUUGGGGCGGCUGGUUGUUCCAGAGGUGUGGAGGAAGAGCGCCACGUCAGACGAGUCGUUCACGAGUUCACUGACGGAGCCAACAUUUGACUCGGUAUUUGACGAAGAGAGGGUUAUUGUUUUCGUUUUCAAGUGGAACGUAGCUGCCCCAUGAGGUAUGUUGAGCUUGGAAGCAGCGGCUAGAGCCGAUUCGAUGCCUUCUGGUGACGUAAUGAGGAGCUUUGAUUCGGAGUCGGAAAGGUAAAACUCGAAUUCCUCGGCUGUGUAAGCGGCGUUUAGCGGCGCAGCCGUGGCUCGGCACCUUAUAACGGCCAAAAACAUCACCACAAACUCGACCGUGUUUGGGAAAGUGAGAGCGACGACAUCGCCAGGAUUGACACCGGAAGCGAUAAGGAGAGAAGCGGCAUGAUCAACGAGGUGUCGCAAUUGAGAGUGCGUCAAAUCGAGUUGACCAGAAACGGAAAGAGCGCGAUGAUUGGGAAAUUCAGUUGCAGAUUUGUUCAACAACCCAGUCAAGGUGAGGCUCUCCAUUUGGGUAAAGAAUAAGAUUUGAAAUAAGCAGAGAAAUGGUAAAUGAAGUGAGAAAAAGUGUGGAGGCAGAGGGAGAGGCCAAGGCAAUCUUAUAGGGAGGGGUAUGGGGAGAGGUUAUAUCUAGGAAGGUGUGUUGAGAAAAAACGGUCAGUUUGUGUGUGCCAACUGCUAAGGGCAAGGCUUAGGCUUCGAGAAAUGUGACUCUCGUCUAUCAGAAUCAGCGUUUCGUCUUGUUAGCGACGCGUGGAUUUUUGCCAGUCUGGGAAUAUUUGGCUACGUGGGGAGGUUACACCUAAAUUCAGUGGCCACUGAAGCCCUCCUUCUUUGGCUAGUCAAUCAGACGGCGGCGUAGCCACAUGGAGACCAG